UACGUAGGGUGCAAGCGUUAUUCGGAAUUACUGGGCGUAAAGCGUGCGCAGGCGGUUCCUCAAGUCCGUUGUGAAAGCCCCGGGCUCAACCUGGGAAUGGCAGUGGAAACUGGGGGACUGGAAUCUGGCAGAGGGGGGUGGAAUGCCGCGUGUAGCAGUGAAAUGCGUAGAGAUGCGGCGGAACACCGAUGGCGAAGGCAGCCCCCUGGGCUGAGAUUGACGCUCAGGCACGAAAGCGUGGGGAGCAAACAGG
rnacentral:rRNA from 1 species